GCAGAGCUCUCGCCCUGGGCCGGGCCCUCCGCGGAGCUCUCUUCGGGCACACAGAGUUCUGCUAAUAAAAUGGUGAAAUCCAAGCAGUGAGGAGUGUACCUUCUCUUUGCUGAGACUGCUUCUAUUGCUUGUGAAGGUUGGUCAGUGUGUAGCACUCCUUUAAGCUGAGGACUUGAGGCCUCUGGGAUGAGCACCUGCUGUGUUAGCUGGUGUAGAAUGUAAGCAAAUGCUUGUAAUUAAACGUACAUUAGGGAGAAGGCUGUUCAAAGCUGAUGUGAAGAUAUAGUGGAACCUUAGGAGGUGACUGCUCUCUCAAAAUGUAAGUCAUAAUUUAAAGAUGUUUAUAUUUGUGCUUCUCAAGUCAGUGAUAAUGAAAGCUGACUGAAGUUCCUAUCAGUCCACAAACCAAGUGCAUAUGUAAUACAUAGGUAAAGGGGUAUUUUUUUAAGACUUAGUCUUUUGUUGCCAUGAAGGAAAAAACAGUGGAGAAUUGUUUUCCAUGCCUGAGAAGAAGAAUUCUUAUACCUCUCAGAGGAGGGUGAAUAAUAAGGUGUAGUGCAUGUGAAGUGACCUUCACAGAAUAGGAGAAUAGCUAUCACUCUAUUUGGGGCCAGUAUCUGCCAUAAGAAUUGUCAGGCUAGCAGAUAGGUGUUUGUUAGAAUGUGCAGGUAUCAAAGCGCUUUUUGCUGUUAACAGCAUUGUGAAGCUGCUUUAAAGAAUG
rnacentral:lncRNA from 1 species